GGAUACAGAAGGUGAUGACUUUUAUUUGGGUAAGGGGACUUGAUGAGAACCAGGACUCUGAUACAAUGAGGGGUUGGUUGGCUCAGUCUGUCUCUUGCCACAGGCCCAUGGAGGGAUUGUGCGGAGGCCCAGGGGGCAGGUCACUGGCAGAGUGGAGUGUAUGAACUGCGGUUGGGCCGUCGUGUGGUACCCGUGUGGUGUGAACAGCAGCAGGAGGGUGGAGGCUGGACCGUCAUCCAGAGGCGGCAAGAUGGCUCUGUCAACUUCUUCACCAACUGGCAACAUUACAAGGUGGGUGCUUGGGGUGGGGGUGAUGGAGACUGUUCUGGGCAGAAAUGAUGCCCCCGCCUCUUCCUCCUGCCCUUCUAGGUGGGCUUUGGACGACCGGAUGGAGAAUACUGGCUGGGCUUGGAACCCGUGCAUCAGGUGACUAGCCGCGGGGACCACGAGCUGCUGAUACUCUUAGAGGACUGGGGGGGCCGUGGGGCACGCGCCCACUAUGACAGCUUCUCCUUGGAACCCGAGAGUGACCACUACCGGCUGCGGCUUGGCCAGUACCAUGGUGAUGCUGGAGAUUCCCUCUCCUGGCACAGUGACAAACCUUUCAGCACUGUGGAUAGGGACAGAGACUCAUAUUCUGGUAAGGAGAGCUUUUAUUCUGGUGGGAGGGCAGG
rnacentral:lncRNA from 1 species